UGGGGAAUAUUGCACAAUGGGGGAAACCCUGAUGCAGCAACGCCGCGUGAAGGAAGACGGUUUUCGGAUUGUAAACUUCUGUUCUUAACGAAGAAAAAUGACGGUAGUUAUGGAGCAAGCCACGGCUAACUACGUGCCAGCAGCCGCGGUAAUACGUAGGUGGCAAGCGUUGUCCGGAAUUACUGGGUGUAAAGGGAGCGCAGGCGGGAGAUCAAGUCAGCUGUGAAAUCCAUGGGCUUAACCCAUGAACUGCAGUUGAAACUGUUCUUCUUGAGUGAAGUAGAGGUUGGCGGAAUUCCGAGUGUAGCGGUGAAAUGCGUAGAUAUUCGGAGGAACACCGGUGGCGAAGGCGGCCAACUGGGCUUUAACUGACGCUGAGGCUCGAAAGUGUGGGGAGCAAACAGGAUUAGAUACCC
rnacentral:rRNA from 1 species